CGAACGCUUCUUUUUCCACCGGAGCUUGCUCCACCGGAAAAAGAAGAGUGGCGAACGGGUGAGUAACACGUGGGUAACCUGCCCAUCAGAAGGGGAUAACACUUGGAAACAGGUGCUAAUACCGUAUAACAAUCAAAACCGCAUGGUUUUGAUUUGAAAGGCGCUUUCGGGUGUCGCUGAUGGAUGGACCCGCGGUGCAUUAGCUAGUUGGUGAGGUAACGGCUCACCAAGGCCACGAUGCAUAGCCGACCUGAGAGGGUGAUCGGCCACAUUGGGACUGAGACACGGCCCAAACUCCUACGGGAGGCAGCAGUAGGGAAUCUUCGGCAAUGGACGAAAGUCUGACCGAGCAACGCCGCGUGAGUGAAGAAGGUUUUCGGAUCGUAAAACUCUGUUGUUAGAGAAGAACAAGGAUGAGAGUAACUGUUCAUCCCUUGACGGUAUCUAACCAGAAAGCCACGGCUAACUACGUGCCAGCAGCCGCGGUAAUACGUAGGUGGCAAGCGUUGUCCGGAUUUAUUGGGCGUAAAGCGAGCGCAGGCGGUUUCUUAAGUCUGAUGUGAAAGCCCCCGGCUCAACCGGGGAGGGUCAUUGGAAACUGGGAGACUUGAGUGCAGAAGAGGAGAGUGGAAUUCCAUGUGUAGCGGUGAAAUGCGUAGAUAUAUGGAGGAACACCAGUGGCGAAGGCGGCUCUCUGGUCUGUAACUGACGCUGAGGCUCGAAAGCGUGGGGAGCAAACAGGA
rnacentral:rRNA from 1 species